rnacentral:rRNA from 1 species
CGGGUGAGUAAUGUCUGGGAAACUGCCUGAUGGAGGGGGAUAACUGCUGGAAACGGUAGCUAUACCGCAUAACGUCGCAAGACCAAAGAGGGGGACCUUCGGGCCUCUUGCCAUCGGAUGUGCCCAGAUGGGAUUAGCUAGUAGGUGGGGUAACGGCUCACCUAGGCGACGAUCCCUAGCUGGUCUGAGAGGAUGGCCAGCCACACUGGAACUGAGACACGGUCCAG